UGGGGACUUGAGUGGUUAUUAAGGUGAAUA
rnacentral:piRNA from 1 species